UCACAAGCUCCUUUUCGCUAAGCUGAACUACACUUUGCACCAAGCCCUUGCCGUAAGAGCGGGUUCCUACAAGAUAAGCCCUCUUAUGAUCCUUUAAAGCACCUGCCACAAUUUCGGAAGCACUUGCAGAGCCUUCAUUUAUGAGAACAACUACGGGCAUAUCUUUAGGUAAUCUUUUUACAAAUCGGCGGACAUUAUAAGUUUCGCUUGUGUUGCGGGCUCUUCCCUUUGUCGAAACCACAACACCCGAUUCUAAAAAUAUACUCGCUACAUCAAUAGAGCUUGUAAUCAAACCUCCCGGAUUAUUCUU
rnacentral:ncRNA from 1 species